ensembl:lncRNA LINC02994 long intergenic non-protein coding RNA 2994
GUUUGAUCUCAGACUGCUGUGCUAGAAAUCAGCGAGACUCCGUGGGCGUAGGAGCCUCCGAGCCAGUCAUGGUCUGGAGUCAAGAAAUGAAGAGGGCAAGCAAUGUUUUUGGCAUCCUGACUACAGUUACAUGCAGUUUGGGGCUGCUGCAAUGGCAACUCAACGGAGAGGUUAGGAACACCAACUCCAGGAUCAGGCAAUCUUUGAAUCCCUGUCACUAGCAGCUUUGUAUAUUGGAGCAAGUUACUUAACAUCUGUCUGCUGGAGUUUGCUGGAGGUUCACUCCAGACCCUAUUUGCCUGGGUAUCACCAGUGGAGGCUGCAGAACAGCAAAGAUUGCUGCCUAUUCCUUCCUCUGGAAGCUUCUUCCUAGAGAGUCACCUGCCAGAUGCCAGCCAGAGCUCCCCGAAAUGAGGUAUUCAGUGACAUCUUUCUAAAUUGUUUAAAAUGAGAAGCAUUGCACACUGAGAGUCAGGAUCCAAGUGUCUUUGACUGAGCCAACUCAGCUCUGCUAUUAACUUAUGGUGUGAUCGCAGGCUGUCUAGAAAAGGACACCAACAAUCACCCAUGAAGAUUGCCCUUCAACCUUUGGGAGGAAAUGAUCGAAAUGGGAGCUAGAGAAGAUUGUUGUUGGAAUCUCAGGAAAAAGUCAUAAUCCAGGCCAAAGUGAGCAAACUCCCAAGAGCAUUCCUGGUCAGCACCGCAGCAAAUCCGUGGCAAGUGCAGAGAUUAUAAGCAAUUUCUCCAUGGCUGGAAUUCAGUUGAUCUGGGACUGAACCUAUUUCUAAUGGGUAAAUACUUAGGAAUAGACUUAAGCGUUUGUAAAAUAAGCAUAUGUUUAACUUUAUAAGAAAGUCUCACACAGUUUUCAAAGUCUUUGAACUAUUUUACUAUCUUACCAGCAGUGUAUAAGAAGUUCCUUUUUGUGUCUUUUUUCUCCAAUUGCUUUUGAGAUUUUCCUUUAUUUUGGUUUUUAAUAAUUUAAUUAUGACAUCUCUCAAUGUGGUUUCCUUGAUAUUUAUCCUGAUUAAGAUGCAUUGAGUUAUUGGAUUUAUACAUUAUUACUUUCAUCAUACUUGGAAAAUUUUUCAGUCAUUAUUUCUUCAAGUAAUGUUUUGCCCUAGUCUCUUUUUCCUUUCUUUCUGGGACUUCAUAGCUUAUAAUAGCCCUAAAGAUUUGUUUGCCUGUGUUUAUUUUCAGUGUUUUCUCUCUAUUCUAGUUACUUUUUAAGUGAUGUAUCCUAAGAUUUACUGAUGCUUUUUUCCUCCUAUUCAAUUUAAUGUUAAUUCCACCCCAUAAAAUGUUGAUGGUAGAUAUCUUAUUUUUUAUUUGUAACUUUUCAUUUAAUUAUUUUUGAAAACU